rnacentral:rRNA from 1 species
UGAGGAAUAUUGGGCAAUGCCCGCAAGGGUGACCCAGCAACGCCGCGUGGAGGAUGAAUGUCGUAAGAUUGUAAACUCCUGUUAGAGGGGAAGAAUAGUACCGGUUGGACCGGUAUAUGACUGUACCCUCAGAGAAAGCCCCGGCUAACUACGUGCCAGCAGCCGCGGUAAUGCGUAGGGGGCAAGCGUUGUCCGGAUUUACUGGGUGUAAAGGGCGCGCAGGCGGGAUAAAAAGUCAGUGGUGGAAUCCUACAGCUUAACUGUAGAACUGCCUUUGAUACUUUUAUUCUUGAGUUCGGGAGAGAGAGACGGAAUUCCAGGUGUAGUGGUGAAAUACGUAGAUAUCUGGAAGAACACCAGUUGCGAAGGCGGUCUCUUGGUCCGACACUGACGCUGAGGCGCAAAAGCGUGGGGAGCAAACA